AGCUUGCUAUGAGAUAGUUUAGUGGCAAACGGGUGAGUAAUGUAUAGGAAUCUGCCUGGUAGUACGGAAUAACUCUUGGAAACGAGUGCUAAUACCGUAUAUUCUCCUUCGGGAGGAAAGAUUUAUCGCUACCAGAUGAGCCUAUAUCAGAUUAGGUAGUUGGUGAGGUAACGGCUCACCAAGCCUACGAUCUGUAGCUGGUCUAAGAGGAUGAUCAGCCACACUGGGACUGAGACACGGCCCAGACUCC
rnacentral:rRNA from 1 species